GGCUGAAACUCAAAGGAAUUGACGGGGGCCCGCACAAGCGGUGGAGCAUGUGGUUCAAUUCGACGCAACGCGAAGAACCUUACCCAGGCUCGAACGGCAAGUGACAUCCGGCGAAAGCCGGCUCCCGCAAGGGCAGUUGCCGAGGUGCUGCAUGGCUGUCGUCAGCUCGUGUCGUGAGAUGUUGGGUUAAGUCCCGCAACGAGCGCAACCCUUGUCCGCUGUUGCCAUCAGGUUAAGCUGGGCACUCUACGGAGACUGCCGGUGAUAAACCGGAGGAAGGUGGGGAUGACGUCAAGUCAGCAUGGCCUUUAUGUCUGGGGCUACACACGUGCUACAAUGGCAGGUACAAACCGUCGCGAUGCCGCAAGGUGGAGCUAAUCGGAGAAAACUUGUCUCAGUUCGGAUUGCAGGCUGCAACUCGCCUGCAUGUAGCUGGAAUCGCUAUUAAUCGCGGAUCAGCACGCCGCGGUGAAUACGUUCCCGGGCCUUAUACACACCGCCCGUCACAUCACGAAAGCCGGCUGUACUAGAAGUCGCCGCGUUAACCCGCAAGGGGGAUAAGCGCCUAAGGUAUGGUCGGUGAUUGGGGUG
rnacentral:rRNA from 1 species